rnacentral:lncRNA from 1 species
GUGUUUAUUUGACAGAAUGUGUCCUAUUAAUCUGCUACCCCCAGAACUAACCACAUUUGAUGCAGAAGCCAUCAAGCAAGAGGCCGAGCCCCUGAGAGCUGCAGGUGAGCUUCCUGUGGGAGCUAGGUGAGGUCGAAGAGGUGUCCUCCGACUGGGAAGGUCUCGUCAGCAGUAACCCUUGACCGAAUCUCCCUAUUUGUUAUAUUCAUUCCAGCCGGACUGGUUUUUCUGUUCUGCAGAGGUACUGGGAAGGCCCGUGCCUGAGGCUCUUCAUUUGGAUUUUUGACGCUUGAUAACUAAAUAUCCACGUUUGCCACAACUUUCCUUUACUCUUGCAUUAGUGGGUAGUUUGACUAGGAGUGGUCGCUGAGCAUGCUGAACAAACUGUCUCCCCUCCCCCACUGCAUUAAUCUAUCAUCUUUACAUUACAUAUGUUUAAUAGAAGUGCUCUCACUUGUUUACUAUGCCUCCCUAUCUUAAGUGUAAACUCCAGGGAGUUUACCUCAUGCUUAGGCCAGAGCCAGUCUUACAGGAUACAAUGCUUUCUCUGAAGAAGCCACUGAGGGCAGGGUUACCAACCUGCCUGUUUCCUCAGGCUCAUCCCUGAGUAUCAGAGGCACACCCUGGAAAUGUCCAGCCUACAUUCUAGAGAAAGCUAAGCAAAUGACUGCCCGUGGGUCAAACAUGGCAUGGUCUGUUUUUACAAAUAAAGUUUUCUUCAGAUCAUCCCUUGUUACCUAUCAUCUACACCACAGCUGAGUGGUUCCGCCAAAGUCCAUGGGUCCUGCAAAGCUGGGGUAUUCCAUAUCUGGCUUUUUA